AGAAUCAACGCUGGCGGCGUGCCUAACACAUGCAAGUCGCACGAGAAAGUGGAGCAAUCCAUGAGUACAGUGGCGCACGGGUGAGUAACACGUGACUAACCUACCCUUGAGUGGGGAAUAACCUGGAGAAAUCUAGGCUAAUACCGCAUAACACCUACGGGUCAAAGGAGCAAUUCGCUUAAGGAGGGGGUCGCGGCAGAUUAGCUAGUUGGCGGGUAAUGGCCCACAAGGCAGUGAUCUGUA
rnacentral:rRNA from 1 species